rnacentral:rRNA from 1 species
GACGAACGCUGGCGGCGUGCUUAACACAUGCAAGUCGAACGGAAAGGCCCUGCUUUUGUGGGGUGCUCGAGUGGCGAACGGGUGAGUAACACGUGAGUAACCUGCCCUUGACUUUGGGAUAACUUCAGGAAACUGGGGCUAAUACCGGAUAGGAGCUCCUGCUGCAUGGUGGGGGUUGGAAAGUUUCGGCGGUUGGGGAUGGACUCGCGGCUUAUCAGCUUGUUGGUGGGGUAGUGGCUUACCAAGGCUUUGACGGGUAGCCGGCCUGAGAGGGUGACCGGCCACAUUGGGACUGAGAUACGGACCAGACUGAUACGGGAGGCAGCAGGGGGGAAUAUGGCACAAUGGGAGGAAGCCUGAUGCAGCAACGCCGCGUGCGGGAUGACGGCCUUCGGGUUGUAAACCGCUUUCGCCUGUGACGAAGCGUGAGUGACGGUAAUGGGUAAAGAAGCACCGGCUAACUACGUG